rnacentral:rRNA from 1 species
UACGAAGGGGGCUAGCGUUACUCGGAAUUACUGGGCGUAAAGGGCGCGUAGGCGGCGCUCCAAGUUAGGCGUGAAAGUCCUGGGCUCAACCUGGGAACUGCGCUUAAGACUGGAGUGCUUGAGGAUGGAAGAGGGUCGUGGAAUUCCCAGUGUAGAGGUGAAAUUCGUAGAUAUUGGGAAGAACACCGGUGGCGAAGGCGGCGACCUGGUCCAUUACUGACGCUGAGGCGCGACAGCGUGGGGGAGCAAACAGG